AUGUUGUCCCAGGGACAUCGUGUAAAUGUUGUCCCAGGGACAUCGUGUGAUAGCUUGUUAAUAAUGGAAUGAAAAUUAUUGAUUGUUAUUAACUUGUGAAAAAGAAGUGUAACAAAUCCACAUGUUAUGUUCUUACACCCUUACAGAAACUGUGACUCCUUCACAAUGUCAGAAAUGGACGAUAAAAUUAGAAGAAGUGUUCUGAAUGACGAAAAAAAAAGAACUGGAAAAGAUACACAACUUUGUGUGCAUGUGUCACAAUGCCAGGAGGACCCAUUCAGUGUUGUGUUAGAAAAAUUGAACUCAUUAACCCUUCAUGGACAUUAUAAAUGUUUAAAUGUUGCCUCAGGUAAAGACAGGAAAAGAGACUAUUACAAAUUCAACUGCAUCAGAGCUGGGAAAAAAGUCGAAACAGCUACAGAGCAGUGGGCUGUAAGGCCUAUGUUUCAUUUAAAGUACUCAAAUGUUGGAAAGACCACACAGUCAUCGUGCAGCGUGCAUAUGAUAAGCAUGAUGGGCAUGAUCCUUCGGACCCAAAAGACGCACAUUUCAACAAUAUUUCCAGUGAUUUGAGGAGGAAGAUUGAGGAACUGCUUUCCCUUGGAACUAAGCCAGCCAUCAUACUAACCGAAUGUCAUAAAUCCGCCAAAGAACAUGGACACAGAGAUCUUCACAACAGAGAGCAUUUUGUCACACCACGUGACAUUGACAGUGUUAGAACCUGCAUGAUGAGGAAGAAGCACUUUAACUGUGGAGACAGUCAAUGUGUACAUACCUUACUUAAUGGAAAACAUCAAGAACAUGUUCUCUUCUAUCAACCAUACACAUCUGACCAAGAACUAAUGAUUGUUUUGCAGACACCUGUAAUGAAAUCAAACAUGGAGAACUAUGCAAAACAGUUAGUAUUUGUUGACACCACGCACUGCGUUAACCAGUAUUCAUUUCCCUUAUUCACACUUGUUGUAAGAGAUGAUCAUGGGCAUGGAGUCCCUGUGGCCUAUGCUAUUGUCAGCAACGAAAGUCAGAAAACCCUGGAAACUGUACUUGGAAUAGUUUGUGAGCAUUUCCCAACUUCCCCGAGAGCAUUUAUGGUUGACAAAGACUUUGCGGAAAUAAAUGCUUUGCAGAAGGUUUUUCCAGAGUCAGCUAUCCUUCUAUGCUGGUACCAUGUCUUGCAGGCUGUUAAUCGAUGGCUUUCAAAAUC